UACGUAGGUGGCAAGCGUUGUCCGGAUUUAUUGGGUUUAAAGGGUGCGUAGGCGGUCAAAUAAGUCAGUUGUGAAAUACGGCAGCUCAACUGUCGAGGUGCAAUUGAUACUGUUUGACUUGAGUACUGUUGAGGUAGGCGGAAUGGACGGUGUAGCGGUGAAAUGCUUAGAGAUCGUCCAGAACACCGAUAGCGAAGGCAGCUUACUAAAGAGUAACUGACGCUGAGGCACGAAAGUGUGGGGAUCGAACAGG
rnacentral:rRNA from 1 species